CACGUAGGCACCAAGCGUUGUCCGGAUUUAUUGGGCGUAAAGAGCUCGUAGGCGGUUCGGUAAGUCGGGUGUGAAAACUCUGGGUUCAACCCAGAGCCGCCACCCGAUACUGCUGUGACUUGAGUUCGGUAGGGGAGCGGGGGAAUUCCUGGUGUAGCGGUGAAAUGCGCAGAUAUCAGGAGGAACACCAGUGGCGAAGGCGCCGCUCUGGGCCGAGACUGACGCUGAGGAGCGAAAGCGUGGGUAGCAAACAGG
rnacentral:rRNA from 1 species